UGCGUAGGCGGUGCUCUAAGUCUGUCGUGAAAUCUCCCGGCUUAACUGGGAGGGUGCGGCGGAAACUGGAAUGCUAGAGUGUGGGAGAGGUAAGCGGAAUUCCUGGUGUAGCGGUGAAAUGCGUAGAUAUCAGGAGGAACACCCGUGGUGUAGACAGCUUACUGGACCACGACUGACGCUGAGGCACGAAAGCGUGGUAGCAAACA
rnacentral:rRNA from 1 species